UACAUGAAGCUGGAAUCGCUAGUAAUCGCGGAUCAGAAUGCCGCGGUGAAUACGUUCCCGGGUCUUGUACACACCGCCCGUCACACCAUGGGAGUCAGCAACGCCCGAAGCCGGUGACCCAACCUUUCUAGGAGGGAGCCGUCGAAGGCGGGGCCGAUGACUGGGGUGAAGUCGUAACAAGGUACC
rnacentral:rRNA from 1 species